AACGAACGCUGGCGGCAUGCCUAACACAUGCAAGUCGAACGAGACCUUCGGGUCUAGUGGCGCACGGGUGCGUAACGCGUGGGAACCUGCCCUUAGGUUCGGAAUAACUCCCCGAAAGGGGUGCUAAUACCGGAUAAUGUCUUCGGACCAAAGAUUUAUCGCCUUUGGAUGGGCCCGCGUUGGAUUAGCUAGUUGGUAGGGUAAAAGCCUACCAAGGCGACGAUCCAUAGCUGGUCGGAGAGGAUGAUCAGCCACACUGGGACUGAGACACGGCCCAGACUCCUACGGGAGGCAGCAGUGGGGAAUAUUGGACAAUGGGCGAAAGCCUGAUCCAGCAAUGCCGCGUGAGUGAUGAAGGCCUUAGGGUUGUAAAGCUCUUUUACCUGGGAUGAUAAUGACAGUACCGGGAGAAUAAGCUCCGGCUAACUCCGUG
rnacentral:rRNA from 1 species